rnacentral:rRNA from 1 species
CAGUAGCGCGGUAAUACAGAGGGUGCGAGCGUUAAUCGGAUUUACUGGGCGUAAAGCGUGCGUAGGCGGCUAAUUGAGUCGGAUGUGAAAUCCCCGAGCUUAACUUGGGAAUUGCAUUCGAUACUGGUUAGCUAGAGUGUGGGAGAGGAUGGUAGAAUUCCAGGUGUAGCGGUGAAAUGCGUAGAGAUCUGGAGGAAUACCGAUGGCGAAGGCAGCCAUCUGGCCUAAUACUGACGCUGAGGUACGAAAGCAUGGGGAGCAAACAGGAUUAGAUACCCCUGUAGUCCCUGUCUCUUAUACA